UUUGCAAAAGCAAAUACAAUGGAUUAAAUUUGAAUCAAAACAAAAUUAAAAACACAAAAUCAAAUUAAAGCAGAGGAUGAAUUUGCAAAAUGCGUGCAACAUGGACGGCAAAAAGGGAAAUUAAUCCCACCCUUCCAAAAUGUUGUGCAGCAUGGGAUUAAAAAAAGAACAGAUUUAAUAUGUCAUGGAAAAAUUUGUAAACAAUAAAAACAAUGGUUUUGAAAUGAUGAAAAACAUGAAAGGAUUAAAAACGAAAAUAACCCAUCAAUGCUUAAAACCCAUUUCAAAUCUUAAUUAAAAUCCUUAUUCCAUCUGCAACUUCAACAGCCACAUUCAUCUUCUUCUCUGCUGUUUCAACUCCACUUCCAAUCUGCCACAAAGACGACGGCGCCUCGAUGGCGCGCUGCCACCGGUAGAACGCGAGGGAUCACUGAACGUGGGUGAUUGCGACAUGGGGUGAUGGGGUCGUUGCUGCAGAUGGAGAACGUGCGAGGAUCUGCGGUUUCUGCUUCCAUUGCUGCUAAAAACACGUUGUGGGCUAUGGCUAAUUUUGGGCCAAUUGGGCCAAAUGUAUUUGGGCUGUUGGUUUUUAGUUUGGUGUAUUGGGUCAUUGGGCUUUAGGAUUUUGGGCCCCGGGCAAUAAUUGGGUAUUACACAUACCAUUAAAAGGCACUUUUAAGUCUAAGCAAACAAUUAUCAUUCACUAAACCAUUGAGUAAACUUAAGUUUGAAGCAAUAA